AUUGAACGCUGGCGGCAGGCCUAACACAUGCAAGUCGAGCGGAGGAAGGGAGCUUGCUCCUGGAUUCAGCGGCGGACGGGUGAGUAAUGCCUAGGAAUCUGCCUGGUAGUGGGGGAUAACGUCCGGAAACGGGCGCUAAUACCGCAUACGUCCUGAGGGAGAAAGUGGGGGAUCUUCGGACCUCACGCUAUCAGAUGAGCCUAGGUCGGAUUAGCUAGUUGGUGGGGUAACGGCCUACCAAGGCGACGAUCCGUAACUGGUCUGAGAGGAUGAUCAGUCACACUGGAACUGAGACACGGUCCAGACUCCUACGGGAGGCAGCAGUGGGGAAUAUUGGACAAUGGGCGAAAGCCUGAUCCAGCCAUGCCGCGUGUGUGAAGAAGGUCUUCGGAUUGUAAAGCACUUUAAGUUGGGAGGAAGGGCAGUAAGUUAAUACCUUGCUGUUUUGACGUUACCAACAGAAUAAGCACCGGCUAACUUCGUG
rnacentral:rRNA from 1 species